rnacentral:rRNA from 1 species
CCUACGGGAGGCAGCAGUGAGGAAUAUUGGUCAAUGGCCGGAAGGCUGAACCAGCCAAGCCGCGUGAGGGAGGAAGGCGCUGAGGGUCGCAGACCUCUUUUGCCGGGGGACAAAAGGCGGGACUCGUCCGGUUCUGAGGGUACCCGGCGAAAAAGCAUCGGCUAACUCCGUGCCAGCAGCCGCGGUAAUACGGAGGAUGCGAGCGUUAUCCGGAUUCAUGGGGGUUAAAGGGUGCGCAGGCGGGGCUUUAAGCCAGCGGUAAAAUCGCGGGGCUCAACCCCGCCGAGCCGUUGAUACUGGGGUACUUGAGUGCGAGAGAGGCAUGCGGAAUGCGUGGUGUAGCGGUGAAAUGCAUAGAUAUCGCGCAGAACCCCGAUUGCGAAGGCAGCAUUCCGGGCCGCAACUGACGCUGAGGCACGAAAGCGUGGGGAUCGAACAGGAUUAGAUACCCUUGUAGUC